rnacentral:rRNA from 1 species
GUCCACGCCGUAAACGAUGUCGACUUGGAGGUUGUUCCCUUGAGGAGUGGCUUCCGGAGCUAACGCGUUAAGUCGACCGCCUGGGAGUACGGCCGCAAGGUUAAACUCAAAUGAAUUGACGGGCCCGCACAAGCGGUGGAGCAUGUGGUUUAAUUCGAUGCAACGCGAAGAACCUUACCUACUCUUGACAUCCACGGAAUUCGGCAGAGAUGCCUUAGUGCCUUCGGGAACCGUGAGACAGGUGCUGCAUGGCUGUCGU